ensembl:snRNA U6 U6 spliceosomal RNA
GUGCUCAUUUCAGCAGCACAGAUGUAGAACUGGUAGGCUACAUAAAAAAUUAACAUGGCCCUUGCACAAGGAUGACAUGCAAAUUUGUAAAAUGUUCCAUAUUUUA